AUAUAAGCAUAUUCCUUCAGCUUUAUCAAUUUAUACAUUUGUGCAGAGAGAGGACCUAAACCCUCACGUUUCAUCCUCCAUUAACUCUUGUUCUUGUGUUCUAUUUUUCUAGAAUAUGAACGAACCAAAGAUUGGCUAUCCCUACCCUCCUCCAGGUGCUUAUCAAGGACCUCCACCGGUGAUGGCACCUUUCCAAUAUUAUCCACCUCCACCGCCGCCACAACCACCGAAACAAGCAGGCUGUUUAGAAGGAUGUCUUGCAGCUUUAUGUUGCUGCUGUCUGUUCGAAGAAUGUUGCUGUGAUCCGUCAUUUCUGUUGGUGUUGUAAUCCCUUAUUAUUAUUAUUAUUAUUUUCUGCAAAAUGUAACCUGUUUUUUCUUCUUUUGAUAUGUAAUUUUAUGUUAAAUGUUAAAAGUUUUUGUUCGUUCGUUUGAUUCUAAAGAACAAUAUGAAACCAUUUGUUUGGAUUUUCUCUUC